CCCAGGUUUACAGAAGCACGAUUUGGGGACUGGACCCCAGAAUCUGAAAUUCAAAGCUUCAAGCCAGCCUUCGCACUGAAGACUUGCUCCCACACGGUCCCGCGCGUCUCUAGCCAGCCGCCAGCUCAAGAGGUGAUCCUGAGGCGCUCCGCCAGGGGGCGCAGCGAGCCGCUUCCGGGUGAGGCGAGGCGCGAGGCGCCGGAGGGGCGGAGCAGGGCGUGAACCGGAAGUUAACCGCGGGCCCCGCCUGUCGCGCGGUGGGAGGCAGCCUGGGACCGGCCCACGGAGUUGCAGCCGCCCAUCGCUCCCUCCUUGCGGACAUCAUGCUCCAGUUCCUGCUUGGAUUUACUCUUGGCAACGUGGUUGGAAUGUAUCUGGCUCAGAACUAUGAUAUACCAAACCUGGCUAAAAAACUUGAAGACAUUAAAAAGGACCUGGAUGCCAAGAAGAAACCCCCUAGUUCAUGAGGCCGACUCCAGCCCUGCCUUCUGGAUUCUACUAUUGUCGAGGGCCUUCUUUACUCUGAACCAAAAGCUUUUGUUUUAAUUUCCAGCCUCAGCAGUUUUCUUCAUUGUGUUGCCUUAGAGCACAAAUGGGGCCACAAGUUAAGAACUACCCUUAAUUUUCCAACAGCAUCACUUCUUCCCUUGCUCCUUCCAGCCACUUGGAAGGCCCUGAAACUGGAAUUAUGGUGCUAGAUUAGUAAACAUGACCUUUAAUUAGUAGUCUCUCCCUUUUUCUUUGGAAUUUCUAUUACCUUUUUUCAAAAGAAAAAUUGAUAAAUUUUGUAUAGCAGAUGAGAUAUAAAUAAUGCUGAUUUCACAUUCUAGCAAUUAUAUAAUGGGUAUUUAAACAUUCGGUACUUAAUUAUGUUAUUUCAAAAUAGUAGUUAAAAUCAAGAAGCCAGUUCCUGGUGAAUUAUCCAUUGUUGUCAGGAAGCUGCAUAGUUGCUAUUGUAACCACUAUAUCAAUUUGCUAUUCAUUAACCAAGAAACAGUGUUCUGAGAACCCUGAGAACUUACAAAUAUUUAAAAUAAUGGCCGUUGUCCUCAAUAGUAUUCCUAGUCUAAUAUUCAUGUUGUUUUUUAAUGAUGUGUUUGAUCUGGUUCUUUUCCCUCGUAAGAAUCAUACUUUAUGGGAUAACAGGUGCAUGUGACAUUACCUGGUGGAUAAAUGAGAAGUUGAUUAUAAGGGAAGUUUUAUGCCUUUUUAUAUUUAAAAAAUAUGUUUACAUUAUAACUUUAUAGUGAGCCCCUGAGUGAGUGGGUUAAGGAUCUGGCAUUGCUCAGUCUCAUAGGAAGCCUUUUUGUGUUUUUUUCCUGCAAUCAGAAAUUGCUCUCUUAGUUUGUCAAAUGUAUAAUCAGUCCACAUUUUUUUAAGUGAAAAAAAUUUAAAUAGGUAACUUCCCCUUGGGUCAGUACAAAAGUGAUUUAGAAUUAAGGACUUCUCCCACCCAUGUCCUGCAGCUCCUAAUUCCUCUUCCUGGAGUCAGGCACUGUUGCCAGUUUUUUUGAAAAAGAUUCUGUCCCUAAACAAACAUGUUCAUGAGGGUUAUUAUACAAAUGAUAACAAGCUAUAUACAGAAUUUUCCUCAGUGGAGAUCAUUCCAUAUCCGUAUGUAAGGAACAAAAAACCUCUUCCCCUUUUGUGACUGCAUAAGGUUCUGUUGAAUGAAUAUGCUGCAGUUGAUUUAGUCAGCUCCUGGUGAACAUUUAGGUUGUUUCCUGUCUUUUGUUAUUAUGGUGAUAACCUUAAACCUAAUAUUGUUAUGCAUAUCUAUGCCAGGGAUAGCGCCAAGCUAAAGCCCUAGAAGUGUAGUUUACCCUGUAGUUUCUAGGGCUUUACCAAGCUAAAGCCCUCGAAGUAUAGUUUGUUGGGUAUCAGCUUCACUGAUAAUGCCAUUCCUGGAAACAUUUUAGCAGAAUUAGUAAACUGGAAGGAUGAUUUUAGAGACACCUUUUUUUCAGACACUGAUGGCACUGACAGUAAAUGUGAUUAUACAGUGAGGUGAUUCUACUUUUCUUUGAAAACGUGGAUCUUUCAAACAUGGAGAUACAUUUUGUCCCUGUCAGGUUGUCCUGGUUCGUGAGACAAAUUAGGACCUUAUUAUAGUUUGUCUUCUCCUCAGACAGAGUGUGAUCAGGGGCAAGUGGCUUAUUUCUCCAAAACUGUUGUUUUCUCUUUAAGAUGUGGAUGCAGUACCUACCUCAUAGGGCUUCCAUGAGAAACUGUUGAGAUAACAUACGUGGUGUGUAGCACAGUGCUUUGCAGAUUGUCCAAUAAAUAGUAGAUAUUAGUUGGAACGUGCUGCCUUUGGUCAGAAUACUUUUUUCUGCACUCACUUCUGGAACCAGUUUAUGAACCAUGCAAAAUGUGUCAUUCUCUUUGUAAAAUGAAAAUCUGUAGUAUCCACUGUGAUCAUACCACCUGGCUUACCAGGUUUGAUCUUAAAUGACUGAAUUGUUAGCAGAAUGAACUACAGCCUUGAAGGAUAAUGGUUUACCAUCUUGAUAGGUAUUCAAACUUUCACAAGCUUAGAAAGCUGUUUUCAAAGAGGGAUUCAUUGUUAUCAGCCAUGGAGCCUUGAUGCUUGUGUGUAUGGUCUCCCAGGUGGCUUCUUUGGGGAUGUGAGUCACUUAGAUGUUGCAUGAUGAGGUCUCUAUAAUUGUACUUGUAAAUGAGGCACGAUUGGACUUGGAGCUUCCCCUGGGAGUGACACUUAACCUUGCUGACGGGAUCAUCUCCACCAGUGGGAGCCACCCAGCUAAUCACCUUAAACGUGUGAACAGCAACACAAAGAGUGCAGGCCAACUUCAUGGUCACCAUUCAGAUUCCCUCUCCCAUUUCAGGCUCUUGUAGGAGUGAAAGGGAUCUGGAGUUCUCAGGCAGGAUUAUCUUCACGGAGACAUAUUGUUGGGGGACCUAGAACCAUUAUGGGUUUUAGGCGGUGUGGUGGUUGUGAUCGUGGUACUCAAAGUUAACAUUCUCUGGGUGUUUUGUAGAGGUCCCUGCAGAGGGGUGGGAAGAACUACUGCAAGACAUGCCUUUUUUUUUUUCCUUUAAAAAAAUCUUGAGGAGUUCCUGUUGUGGCACAGUGGAAAUGAAUGCGACUAGUAUCCAUGAGGAUGUGGGUUUGAUCCUUGGCCUCCCUCAGUGGGUUAAGGAUCUGACAUUGCUGUGGGCUGUGGUGUGGGUUGCAGAUGUGGCUCGGACCCACUGUUGCUAUGGCUGUGGCAUAGGCCAGCAGCUGCAGCUCCUAGUGGACCCCCAGCCUGGGAACUUCCAUAUGCUGCCGAUGCAGCCCAAAAAGGCAAAAAAAGAAAAAAAAAAUUUAAAACUACUUGAUGGGAUUUUAAGGAAACUUUUGCUACACCCAACCAUGACAGGAGAGUUACGUAAGAUACUACGGAAGGAUGCUCACAUGUAAAAAAUAAGACUUCAGGAUUAAUGUCAGAUACUUAAAAAAUACUUUGAAAUGGAAACCUUAUCCUUGAAUUGUAAGUCUCCCAAAUUAAAAAAAAAGGGGGAAGAAAAACCAAAACAACCUUACUUAAAUUGUCCAGAGGGCAUUGUAUUUUAUAAUUUGAGGUUAUAAGUUGAUAUCUGUAGAUGUGUUUUAUACAAUUAAGCAGUUUUUGAUUUAAAGGAACAAUUUUAUUUCCUUCUUUCUAACUAAUUUACUCAUUUUUUAUUCGUGUGACUAGAGAACAGUUACAAUGUGUGGGCUUUCUGGUUGUCUGUACUUACAGGCUCAUGGAACAUAUGUAACAUGUAUAAUGUUCUCAUUUCCACUGGGCAGUUCCCUCCCUAGAUACCAUGCUGGUGUUUGUUUUUCUGCUGAGAUCUCCUACAUUUUAAAUGCUUUCUCUGUUAUUCUUCCUGAAGGAACACUAUAUACUGUGCUGGAGCAAAUGACGCUUUUCUUCAGCUUCCCAGUUCAGACUUUGCACAUAGCAUUUCCAUUCCUUAUGCAGAUGAAUGAGCUCUUUUUUCGCUACUGACUGUGAAGGCCUUACCUUGUGGAAAGGAACAGGGUGGUGGAGAGGAAAUAUUUUGAGACCUCGCCUGACCUUAAACAGUUUGUGAAACUUGGAUUUUCUAAUGUUCAGUUUUUAUAUCUUUCUAAAUUUGGAUGCACCAUGGUCAAGAACUGAAGACCUAGUGAAUGGUGUGUCUUGAGGCACUGGGAGAGGAAUGAAAGAACCAAGCAGUGAGGUUUUGUGGAAAGUGCACGGGACGGGACAUUGCAGAACUAGAGCUUGGGGCCUGCCUGUGAAAAAUGCGGUUUGGUUGCCUCACUCUUGCGGGUGCAGUUGUACGGCAGCGGGCCAAGCAGGCGCUGCCCUGUAAACUGUGCAGCAGCUGCAGGACAGCUUCCUGUGCCCUCGGGUGCUGUCAGUUUCCUUUGUCUUCUAAGGGGUCUGUUGCCUCGAUCUCCUGAGAGUGAUUCUAGGGUUUAGAUGUACUUUUCAAACUGUCGUAACUGUGAAGCCACCUAUUUUAUUUGGGUUCAGCUAAAGAAAGAGGGAUCUGACAAUGCAGGGAAAACUAGCUAUUUUAUACUCAAGAUGGCAUGUGAGUCUUUGUUUCCUGUACAUACUAACAUAUAAGAUUUUAUACUGUGUACUUCAUGGGCGACUUAAAGAAAUUUCAGGAGUUGCUGUCGUGGCUCAGUGAUUAAUGAAUCCGACUAGGAACCAUGAGGUUGCGGGUUCGAUCCCUAGCCUUGCUCAGUGGGUUAAGGAUCCGGCGUUGCUAUGAGCUGUGGUGUAGGUCGCAGAUGCGGCUCGGAUCCCACGUUGCUGUGGCUCUGGCAUAGGCGGGCAGCUGCAGCUUCGAUUCAACCCCUAGCCUGGGAAUCUCCAUAUGCCGCAGGAGCGGCCCAAGAAACGGCAAAAAAAAAAUGACCAAAAAAAAUUUCAGAGGCAGCUUUAGGCCAAUUUGAUGUAUAAUUGAGAACAAGAUAUAACUCUACUUAGUGUCUUUGUUUCUCACCUUCAUCAUAUAUAAAAUGAGCUGGUAUAAGAUGAUCAUUUAGAGCUUUUCCACCCAUGUAGAGUUGUGAUGUGAAAAAAUAAAAAUCAGAUGUAAUAUAUUUGCAAGAGACACAAGACUAUUAAUUAGAGCUGUUAGUUACUGUCCCACAGCAGAGUGACUUUAAAGACUGGGAGUUGUUAGUCAUAUCUGACAUUCCCUGUUGUUGGAAUGAGCAGUCUUGUUUGGCCUGAACCUUUGGUUUGGGGAGAGAACACUGCUGUUCUUUAGAAUGAUCAGUGGGCCAGACUGAAAUAAACACCCUUUCUGAAUUGGCCGCUUGAGUGUAUUAGCUGCUGGAAGCACUUGGCUUGGAGCAACAGAGUGGCUGAGCUGCUUUCCCUUUGGAGCAAGUCAGGCUCUUAAACAGCUGAACAGGGGCCAGUCAUUCUAAGUCAGCUUUUCUUUCUCUUUUUACCUAUUUCUACUCCUAGAAUCUUCAUUGAUUAUCUGAGCCUUUGUUUUAUUGUCUGAUGCAGCUCAGUGGCUCAAUGUCUAAGUUCUUUAGAGGGUCAGACAUCUGACAGUUUGGCCACCCUGACAACAGGAGUAACAUCCUGACUCUUCUGAACAUGUUAGAACAGCGUGACUAUAGGAUGCUGGCUUCAUCAGACCGGCUGUGAUGUGCCUAAUGUUGAUAUUUCAUUUGGGCUCAUUCACUUUUAUAAGUGGCCAAAUAAAUUGGCCUAAGCUAAUUGGCAGAAGCUGUAACAUAACGUGCUAUCAGUAGUAACUUAAAAUCGGUUCAACUAGUGCAGUUAACUUUGGGGUCCUCCUUUUCCCAUAAGACAUAUUUAGCAAGUAACCAGAAAUGUGUAAUGCCUGAAAACCAGAGGGCAGUGGGGCUACAUCCAGUCAUAUAGCAGGGACCUCUGUUGUGGGCAAAAUGGUGCAGUUCAACAGGAAGAAGGCUUGCAUUUCCAAAGUGAUUUUUCUCAAGGGAAACGUUUAUUGAGCAGGUACAGAUUACUCUACUGCCUAAGUUGCCAGGACUUUACGAGAUAGAAGACAUCUCCCCUCCCCUCAAGGGCUCAAUGACUUGUAGAAAGUCACUGAUGUGUUUGGACCUUUCUGUACUUGUCUUCUCAGGGUGGAAGUAUUCAUUACCUCCAGAAGAAAGCCUGUCAGAUAUCACUAAUAGUGCUGUGAUCUUAGUCACAGUUCUGGCCUCCUUACCAAGACAGGGCUGCCGAGAUCAAAUUUGGACUCGAGUGAGAAAUAGAGACACCCACCCCCAGCAGGGGUGAAUGGGCCCUGUUUCAGCCAGCCGGGCCCCAGAGAGCAGGUCUCUUUAAAACUGAGAAGGGAGAAUGGGCAGAAGAAUAAAGGAAGCACACUUCUGAGGCCCGGUGAGAUCAAGUCUCAAGCAAAUACAGAUACUACAGUGUGCCAAAUUGCCGGGCUUGGAGAGCAGAGGUGUCUCUGGACUGUGUUGAAGAAGAGAAGGGCUCAAGCAGGCCGCUUGGCAAAGGUGGAGCAGAGGGCAGCAAGUAAGAGCUCAGGCUCUGGUGUUUGGAUGACUGGAGUGCCAAUGCUCGCUCUCUACAGGAGAGCUGUAUGUUCUUGGACCAACCACUGAAGCCCCUGCCCCCUUUACUCUAACCUUUUAGGUAACAAUACACAGCACAAUGAAUCCAUCGUGACGUGGGCCUUAAGUCAGAUAAUGCAGACAGGCCUGGCACAGAGGAAGGGCCCAAUAAAUGCCCAUUGUUAUCAGUACGGAAGUGAAAAAAUGAAAUGCUUCAAGUUGAGAUUUAGCAAUCAGCGUGAUCAAGUGAGGGGAUAAGAGAAAGGAAGUAAGAAGGGGCAAAAUGGACCUAAAAGACAAAGAGUCCCCCAAAUUUUCCUAAGUGGAGGGUGAGUACAUGCCAAGAGCUUUCUAACCCAGCCUGGAUUGAGAGGCACAAGGACAGACGUGCUGGUGAUGGAGUCUAUUCACUGACUAGUUCAUUGUUAGUGAAUUGCAAGUGACAUCUGUUAGUGAUGAGUUUUAAAAACAUCAUGUUCUUUAGUCACAGAAUUAUUUAUUGCCCUCUAGAUAUGUCAGAUUUUAAUUUUUUUUUUCUUUUUAGGGCCACACCCAUGGGAUACAGGGGCCGAAUCGGAGCUGCAGCUGCCGGCCUAUGCCACAGCCACAGCAACGUCAGAUCUGAGCCGUGUCUGGGACCUACACCACAGCUCAGGGCAACACUGGAUCCUUAACCCACUGGGCGAGGCCAGGGAUCAAACCUACAUCCUCAUGGUUCCUAGUUGUGUUCGUUACCACUGAGCCAUGACGAGAACUCCUCAGAUUUUAAUUUUUUUACAAAGUUUUUGUUUGGUUGGUUUUUUUGUUUGUUUGUUUUUUUUGUUUGUUUUUUUUAAUGAGAAAGGGGAGUUGUGGAUCUAAUCCUAGAAGACUGAGGAGAGGGGAAAUCUGAACAUUGAUUUCCGCUCAGUGCUUUUGUCACUGAGAACGGGGGGGAAGACAGAGACAGAUCACAACUCAUUCGAGCAGGUAAGCUGGGUGCUGUGUUGGCUUUCUGUGAAGUGAUAAGCUUUCUCACUCGGAAAAUGCUACAAUCCUCACGACUCCCCAUGGGGUGGGUAUGUCUGAUGCUUUCAUUUUCCACAUGAGUAAAAUGGCAGGCCAGAGAGGUUACACACGCGAAGAAAAGCAUGUUGCCCUCCAUUCCAUUUCUACAAGGACCAAGCCAUUAGCCCCUGCAGCCAUAUACCCCGAGGGGAAUUUAGGAUGGAGAAAAACAGGGAACAUGUUGGACUUUGGGUACUGGCCCUAAAUAGUUAAGAUGUAUAUCUGGGGAAUAAUUUCAAUGACCUCAUCUUCUUGCUUCUUCCCAUAGGUAGAAAAGCACUAAAAUCAUUAACUUGAGAUGCCUGUUGUGAUUAGCAGUAAUCUUUUGAUGUUUGACUACCUGUUUCUUUUUCCAGAAAAAAAAAAUUCAUAUAUAUCCUGGCUCCUCCCUUAACUCUCUGAGCAGUUCUUCUUUUAUCUGAGAGGCUGUCUCCUGGGCUAUAGUCCUCAGUGAGUUUCCCGCAUAAAACAUGACUCACACCUUUUAUAUCCGGCAACACACAACUUGCUCAAGUCUAGUGAGGGACAAAACUAGAUUCAAACUCAGUUCUACCCUACUUCCAACUUGGAUCCUGACCCUUUCUGCAAUGUCACUGUCCUGGUGGUGGCAGCCAGAGGCUGGCAGGUUGUGUGGAUCUGUGUCUUGACAUGGGCAUUGGUGGCAUUGCAUGGAUCCUAUCAGAAAAGCAUCCAGUCUGCACCCUGCUGCUGGCUGCACAGACCCAGGCUCUCUUUGCAAGCUGGUUGAGAGGGGUGGGGUCUCUUCAUGUGGCGGGAAUGGGGCAGACCCUCAGGAGCCCAGUGAUGGUCUCCGGAUGUGGACCUGUGAUACCGCUCCUUUGGGUCUUCUGAAUAAUUCUGCAGUGACCCUAGGAAGGGAUGCCUGCACUGGCUCCCCCUCAGUGCUGAGCUAAGCCUGCAUCAGAGCUGGCGCCGUCUCACUCCUUGAUUUCCACCAUUGCCCUAGCAGUGCAGCUAAGUCCAAUGUGGCUGCCUGUCUGCCUUUCCCUGGGGGCAGGAAUGCUCUUUCAGCUGGGUAAGUCUGUGUGGGCUCAGGCACCCUCCUCUUCACCUGUCUGUAUCCCAGAGCGUAGAGGUUUUCAAGCUACUCACUGCCUCUGAAACUUCAGGGGCUACUGUGGGAACAGGGGGCCAUAGGUACUGGGGGAAGGGCCCAGGCAGCCAGGGCUCUGGGCCACCAUGCCCUCUUCCAUCUAUUUUAUGCAUUGAUUCUCCUAAGAUUUAGUUUCUCCUAAGAAAAGGUUUUGUUGCAUAAAAAACAUUCUUUGCAAACCCAACCCUGGAGAAGUUGAAAGCUGAGAGACCCAGAUGGGUGCUGACCUGGCCCAAAGUCAGCCCAGCUCUUGGAGAACCUGGAAAUGCUGACUUUUAAAAUGCCCCUAGUUUCCCUGGUACCGUAUGAUCUGCCUCUGUAGCUCUUCUCAUGGAAAUGUUAGCUUGGCCUCAAAAGGCUGCAAGAUCUGUAGGUUCCUGGUACCAGGCCCUACUUAUGGCCUGGGUGUGGGCUGAGCUCUGGGCUGUGUCUGGACGGCUGCGGAUGUUGGGCAGCCUGGGUUUAGGUAGGUGGCUGGGCACAGAUGCUCAGCCUGUAUCCUCACAGGCCUGUAUGUGGGGGUGGGGUGGAGGUGGAAGGUGUUAGCCUCCAUGGUGAUUAAAGUCCAGAAAGGCAGAGUGGAAAGUGGCAUAUGAAAUAGCCCUAGGUUUAGACAAACAAAGACAGGGUCUAGGCACUGGUCAGGAAUCCAGCAGGUCAGAAAGGUCAGGAGCCAACAGGGAAGCAGGUUUCAUGACAUCAAACUCAAGCAUCACUUGGCUGUAGAGGCUGUUUUGUUUUUCCAGCUGGAGCUGCUUUGCUGCCUCUCUUGCCCUGGCAGGAGCUAGCAUCUGAAUGAGACUUGCUGAAGGCCUGCAGUGAAGGGCCACUGAGACAGCAGAGAGAGAGAGAGGGAGUGAGUGUGUGUGUGCACCUGCGUUGAGGAGGUUAGAGAUAGAGAGGAGGUGAAAUCACUGCCAGAAGCAGUUCCUGACCCUGGGUAUCCCUGAGACUUUUUACACGUCCCAGUGUUCAAACCAUCCUGUUGAGUUCCCCAGAAAGCCCCUGACCCUCCAUAUCUAUGCCAUUCUCCUAUAAAUGGUAAAUCUUAGCUCUCUUGAUGGACACAGGUGCUGUCCCAGGCUAUGGUAGCACAUUAGAAGGGCUUAGAGGACUUUCAAGGCAGAUGGGAUGAUAGCGAUGAGAAUCACAAUGGAGGCAAAACAAACACACACCAGACUCAAAUCUAAAACAGGGGACUGAGCUCUGUACACCAGCAGAGGGUGGAUACUUACAAGAUGAUAGAAUCCUAAAGUCAAAGGGCCCUUAGAGCCCAGCCCCUCUUCCACAGCAUGGAGUCUGCCUCUGAUGUCCCUGACAUGGUCAUCUGGCUUGUGCUUCUGGGGACAGAAACACCAAGACCACGUGUGGCCCCCGUUUCAGACCCUCCCCCACCCCCAACUGCCCCCCCGCCCGAGACAGCAUCUCCUUUAUGGUGCUUUGUCUCUGGUUCUGGCUUGGCCCUUUGCACCUGGUGUGUUGAGCUGUAGAAGCCGAAAAUCAUGGCCCUCUUGAGGCUUCUCUGCCUUCCUCAUGUGACUCAGCUUCCAGAUUUCAGACAACCUGGCUACCCAGCUCUGAAUGAAUUCCUUAUCCAGAAUUGAUGUGCUGGACACACAUUUAUUAAUUGAGCAGAUGUCAGUCCAUACUGGCCAGCAGUUAAGGGUGCCAGUUCUAGGAUCAUGCAAUCCUGGGUUCAAGUCCUUGCUUUACUGCUCACUAGCUGUGUCACCUUGAGUAAGUUACUUAACCUCUCUGAACUUCAGUUUCCUCCUCUGUAGAAUGAAGAUAAAAAUGAUGGGCACUUUACAGAGGAUCAAAGAUACAGAGUGCAUGGAAAGGACGGCAUGUGGUAAAGGCUCAGCAUUUCAGCAGCCACCUCGAUCAGAGAGCUGACUCAUACCGAGUCUCUACCCAGAUAAAAGCCAAGGGUCUUUUUUACACAACUGCUACGCUUUAUCCUAUUAAACUUCAUUUUGCCAGUUCUAGUCCAUUCUCAUCCUGGCAACAUUGAUUCUGUCACUGUACAGUAGUCUGAGCAGUUCUGAUUCAUCUGCAGAUCCAAUAACGUGCCUCUUCUAUUUUCAUCUGUGCUUUCUUUCCAGUGCAGUGCCAAUAGAUUACUCAAGAUUCUUUAGGUUCAAGUAUUCAACCAGCACUCAAGUUAUUCAACUGUGCUAUCAGCCAGCCCACAUUGGCUCCUCUGAGUCAGAAACUUUUAUCCCUGGAACUAUUGAAGCCUCAAAAGAAAAAGUUAAAUUAUGGUCAACACCUUCUGUUUAAAAGGCCAGGGAAAUUAUAAAGCCUUAAGGAAAGACCUCAGUCAAAAAGUGGUCAGUAGAAAGUUUGGGCAUUCGACAAGGUGAAUUUCAUUUAUCUAGAAAAUGAGGCAUUACUGCAGAGGGUCUUCUGUGAAGCUAUGCACACAGUGAACUCUUACUACCUAGGGACUGGCAAGUCAUCACUGUAAAACGCAACCGUUUACACGCACACAUCCAGCCCCAGGGGGAAGCUCAAAGCAUUAGCUACGAGAUUCAAGAGGGCAGUAAUUACAUAUUUUUUCAUUUUUGUCAGCUGCAAGAUAUCUGUAACAUCCCAUAUGGCAUGUGGUAGAUAGGGACUCAGAAAAUAUUUCUCUGAAUGUUAACUGAAUAACCUGAGGGACAAAAGCCACAGUUUCAGGGUCACACUGAUCUCAUUUUCAUGCAUUCCUUCAUAGGGAGAGUACACGUGAUGGACCAUCAAGAAACACGACAAGUCACAGAGGGCGUGUGAGAGUGGCCCACGUGUAUAAAACAUCGUAAAUUUUAGAUAGUGUGAAUCUUGGUAUAGAGAGGACAUGUCUGUAGCAAGUUUAUAUCUGAUUUAUUUCAGUACCAUUUAAAGGACAAAGAUAUCAGGGGGCUCUGAGGGAAGGGAACAAUGCUUUUAGCUGAGGUUUUUGGAAAGGCUUCACUGAGCAGGGUAGGAUUUUAACAGCUACCCAAGUAGCUGGGCCUGAGUCCUGGCAGGGGGCUGGGCAAGCACAAGGUGGGUUUGGGGAGGGACAAGGAGAUGAUUUGUCCAGAGUAGGGGCUCCUGUAGACCCCGGCCUUGCUUGUCCUGGGAACCUGUGACAUGGGCUGGUGUAGGGGUGAAGUCGGUGGUAUGGAUAAUUUCUUUAUUUGCAAAGGUAACUGGCUCACAAAGGCUAUAACCCAUGUCCUCUCCAUGAUGGGCAUUCCCUUUAAUCUGAGUGUAGAAGUCUAGCUAAACAGAUUCUAUUUGCUCCCUGUAGCCCAGCUGUUAAGUAACAUCACCAGCCAAAGCCACUUCAGCAAACAGAUGAGGUGGGAUUUCUCACCUCAAAAGAUAAAAUUUGCCCCCGGCUCCUCCAAUGCUUUCCAGCUCUAGCCCCAGCCAUAGCAACACCUAAUGCUGGGACAGUCUUUAUUUUCUCCUCACGAAGGCAUGUUGCCUUCACAAACGACUGCCUCCCUAGAACUAUAAGGUAGGCCUUCUAGGUUGUGCAGAUGGGUGGGCCCUAGGAUGAAUUGUUGCCUAGCAACAUCCCCAGUGGUGGAGAAGCUGAUUGGCCCACCUAUCUGUAGAUCCCCCUGCAGGAAGCCCCUGGGAAAAUAGUCAUCUACUUUAAGGCAAGGCAUGCUGCUGGCUUUUGAGCUGCCUGUAAUGAAAUACAUAGUAUUUUAAUGAAUAUUACUUAAGUUUCUUUCUGUAACUUUAGUUUUUUCUCUACUCUCUAUUUCACCCCCGCCCCCCAUUCACUGGCUUUUGCUUUCACAAUUUUAAAGAGAAAUCUGCAGAACAAGUUCCUAUGUUUUUCUUAAGAAAAGUUAUAUUUAAGGUUGGUUGUUCUUUUAGGCACACACACAGACCCAGAAUACCUGUUCUCUUUCCACAAAGGAAGAGGAACAAUUGAAGCGAUUGCCUAGUGCUUCAGGCCCCAGGCUAGAUUUUAUGUGGGCCCUCAGGGUAUUGGUUUAGGACCCAUCUCCAGGCAUCAGAGCACUGCUGAGGGUUUGGGGAUCCUGUCUUAUGGGAGAGUCUGAGAUUACUAUGACUACUCCGUGCCGACAAACAAAUAAAUAAAUGUACCAGCAACCCCCAAACCAAAAUGCCCUGCAAAAUAAGCAAACCAAAGCUGGCCAGUUGAGUCCAUCCAGUAGGAUAGCCUGUUAAUUUGUAGUCAAGUACAGCAAUUAGGGGAUGGCUUUGCACUGUCAAGAAACAUCCUACUACCCAUGGUUGAGGCAUUCCACAGACCAGGUUUAAUUAUUCCUUCCUCACAGCACAGAUGCCCCAUUCUUACCAUUAACCUGCCAUGAAGCUACAUAAUACUUGGAGUGUUUUUCUUAGGGUGCAGUAAGCAAGUACACAGACCUUGACAGCUAUGAGUUUGAGUCCAGUUCUCCUAUUUCCUACUUCGUGAUCUUGGAUAAGUUUCUUAACUCUGAACCUCUCACCCCAUCUGUGGAAUGGACAUAUUAAUAUCUAUUUUGUAGCGAUCUUGGGAGUAAUAGCAGAUACAGCUCUUCUGGUUCUUAGUAGGCUCUCAAACAUUGGUUCCCUUUCCUCUUUCUUCUGUGCCUCUGUCCUUGGCUAACCUCUCCCAUUCUGUCUUCUUCAGAAACCCUAAGCAGAGACCAGGUGCUAUAAGGAGAGCGUCCAGAGGAACUAGGUGUUAAUGAAUGAGGACCGUUCUUCCUCUUGCUCCUGGUUUCUGGCUGUGAUGUUCUUCUUUUCUAUCUGUGGUUGGCUUAAGUGUUUGCCCUGAAAUUUGACACGACCCUGGACUUCAUGUUGCCAGUAUCUGUUAGAGCUGUAAGCAUGCCAUAGAGAGAAAGCGUGAGCAGAGGGCAGACUCUAGGCAGGCAGCAGUCAAGGAGAGAUCAUCUCGAAUGGGAGAAGAAGGGACAGAAAUGUUUUUUAGACAAAGUCAACGAAGACCUUGUCAGGACUUGGGGAAACACGGUCUGUCUCUCUGGCCACAAGCAUUUAUCGAGCACCUACUCAACAUGGGCUCAACGUUUACCAUGAGAUUCCAAAGACCCAGGAGGCCUGAUUCCUGCCCUUUUGUGCUUAUUGUCUAAGUGGACAAUCAGAAGACUGAGAACGAUUAACAGCAGUCUUGCUGACUGUGCCCCGUCAUACGGUUGCUAAAGGGUUUCAGGCUGAAGGAACAAUUGGAUGUGGUUAAUUAAAAGGCUUCAUGAAAGAGGCAGUUUGAGGGAGAGGAGAGUCAUGGAUGGAUGGAAAGGAGCUCAGGAUCCAGCAGAGCAGGCACCAAGGCUUAAUGUUAAGGAGUGGUUCGGAGGGUGAGAGAAGCCCCUCCUCCAGUGCUUUGUGAAAUCUCCCUUCACCGGCCCAGCAGGGACCGAGCAGGGGGCUGGCCACGAGUGGUCUAACCUCGUUGGAUCGGAGGACUCCGAAGAACGGGUAGAGGAAGGCAGGCACCAGGGCUGCAGCUCCAAGAGGCACCGCCUCGGACACCCAGUACACAGCAGUCACGAUCAACACAUAAGCACACGCAGCCUCCUGGAAGGGGAAGAAAGUGGGCAGUUAGUCACAGGAACAGCCACUGCCCCUGAGAAUCCAAAGGAGACCCAGGGCAGAGGUACCUGGACUCAGACAUGGGCACUGGGUCACAGUCCUGGAAGGUGCAAAGCUGUAUUAGGCAGAGGAGUUUGGUGGGUGAAGUUAUGGCAGCUCCUUGGGUGGAUUGAUGCCUGGCACGUGGUUUGCAUUGGUUUGCAACAGGGUGGCCACAGGACUGUUACGCUAUCAUUGCCCCACUGGUUCCUGAAACUGAGCAGGGCAGGGACUGAAAUUAAUUGCAAUGUCCAGACCCAAGAUCAUGUACUAUACAGGCGAUGAUCACAGCUUUGACUUGGUCGAAAUAGAAUAUUUUGGUUUCAAGUUGAUUAGACACUAGGUUCUUAGGAUAGCUAAAGGUAGGGAUUAAAUUGUGUAAUUGGCAGCUCCUGUCAUGGCUCAGCCAUUAAUGAACCCGACUAGUAUCCAUGAGGAUGUGGGUUCGAUCCCUGGCCUCGCUCAGUGGAUUAAGGAUCUGGUGUUCUCAUGAGCUGUGGUGUAGAAUGCAGAUGUGGCUUGGAUCCGGCACUGCUGUGGCUAUGGUGUAGGCCAGCAGCUGCAGCUCUGAUUCGACCCCUAGCCUGGGAACCUCCCUAUGCUGUGGGUGUGGCCCUGAAAAUACAAAAAAAAAAAAAAAUUGUGUAAUUGGUUGACAUAUGGGUUCUGAAAUUGGCUCAUUUGGGGCUGGAUCAUUCUCUGUGUGUGUGUGUGUGUGUGUGCUGUGCUGUGCAUUAUGAAAUGUUUAGCAGCACCCCUGGCUUCUACCCACUAGAUGUCAGUAGUACCUCCCCAAUUGUGACAACUAACACUGUUUCUAGACUUUGCUAAAUGUCCGGGGGUGGGGAGGGGAGGGAUUAUCGGUGGUUGAAAACCAGCGCCCUAACCAGUGUCUAGGACUUCACCCCACGUGCUCGAUGCACAUGGGAACAUCUUUCUGACAAAGGGAGUAAAGAGCACCAUCCACCUGGAAGGGAAGUCCUGGACCUUCCCCAGAGUCUUCCCUUUGCUGGUUGUGUAACAUUGGGGUGCACACAAUAAAUAAGUACAACAUUCUUUUAAAAAAAAUCAGUCCUUAACCUUAUCCCCCAGUAAUGCUGGUUAACCGUUAAUCAGCAUCUGGAAUGGUGCUGAUUAGCACUGAUGAGAAGGGUCACUGGCUUACUCUCGGGAGAGGUCACUGUCCAAAGGGCUUGAACACUGGAUUCUGGAGGGCCGCUGUGCAGAAGAUCCAAGCUGCCUGUGGAUUCCUCCCUUUAUACCUACUUCUAAACCAUCUGGGCUCAGGUCUGACCUGCCUGGAGGCUGGCUGGUGAUCAAGGAACCUGACAGAUCUAGUUCUGUUUAUCUCUCCCUUGGGUUCGGAACACGCGUCCUCAGACUCUUAGACAAAAGUUUCAAAAGGUCACCGAGAUCAGUGAGGGGCGUCAGGAGGGAUUAACCCAGCCUGGCAGGAUGGGACCUUGCUCCCUCCUGAUAUGCAUGGAUUAUGGGGUUGGGGGUUGAGAAAUGGGAACUGGGCCCAACAAUUGUUGACUGUGGCUCCCACUGAGAUUUCCUCUGGGGCCAAAAGAUCAGAGAGAAGUUAAAACUUUUGGAAGUGCUGAUAAGACAACAGAAGCAAUAGUGGGGGGUGUGUGUGGGGGAAAUAAAAAGCCUCCAUUUGGAAAAGAAUGCAAUUUAGAGAAAUGUUCCCUUUAUCGCAGAAAUAAAAAUACCUAAAGAAGCCCUAAGCACUUAGCCCACUUGAGCUCACUUUUCCCCAUCUCCUUCCUGGGAAAGAGACAGAACAGGGGUGGGGGGUGGGAGUCUUGAUUCCAGUUGAACAAAAUGAGAUAGAAUGUCUUUCCCUCAUUGAGAAGUCCUGUGCCUUCCUGAGAGCCUUCAGCCUUUCUUGGCUUGGGCAUCACAGGUCCAGGAGUGGAGGGAGGGGAGUGGGGCAAGAGAGAGGGAGAGGGAGAGGGAGAGAGGGAGAGGGAGAGAAAGGGAACGAUUUCCUGCUACUGUGCACCAUUUUGGUUUGAAUUAGGAGAAUUUGGGUUAAGUCAGGGUAAACUUUGUUUUGUUUUGUUUUUUCUAGGGCCAUACCUGAGGGAUGCGUCUACGACCUACACCACAGCUCAUGGCAACGCUGGAUCCUUAACCCACUGAGCAAGGCCAGGGAUCAAACUCGCAUCCUCAUGGAUACUAGUUGGAUCCAUUUCCACUGCACUACAAUGGGAACUCCCUUUUGCUCCUUUUCAACCUUCUCAAAAUUCGGUAGGUAAGCUUAUAUUCACAUAACUCAGGAUAUUCUGUGAAGUUUGAUUGCAGGGAUGCUGUCCCCCCCGCGUCUGGCUGGGGUCUGGCAGAGAGCUCAGUCAAAGCUGCCUGAACUGCGCUGGGCCCGUCUGCUGGCUACCAGGUCUCUGUUAUCUACUGGAGAAAAUCUUCUGGAGACCCCCGGCCCCUUAUCACUGCCACUGGUCUGCAGGUGUGUGGGGCUGGUGUGUAUUCAGGCCUUGAAGGGAUAAUGUUGUCAUUUCUUCUUUUUUGCUCCCGUUUACAAAUAAAGGAGUGAAUUCAAAGUGGCAUUUCCCCAGACGGCCUAUUUCCUGACUCUGCUGCUAACUAAUGUUUGCAUCUGCUCCUUCCUUUCCCCACAGUCGGAUCACCUUGAUGAAAUCCCCUCAGACUUACUGGGAAGGAGCUGGAGGUUUGUUUAUUUGGUGCUGUAAAUGAUAGAAGGGCUUCUUAAAAUUUGGCUUGGGAAGUUCCCAUUGUGGCUCCGCAGUAAUGAACCCAACUAAUAUCCACGAGGAAGUGGGUUUGAUCCCUGGCCUUGCUCAGUGGAUUAAAGAUCUGGCGUUGCCAUGAGCUUCAGUGUAGAUCACAGCCAUGACUUGGAUAUGGUGUUGCUGUGGCUGUGGUGUAGGCUGGUAGUUACAGCUCUGAUUCGACCCCUAGGCUGGGAACUUCCAUAUGCCACAGGUGCGGCCUUAGAAAGUGAAAAAUAAGUGAAUUGGCUUGGGAGUUGGGUGUACCUUUUAUGUCACAGGGGCACCGAGGCAGCGCUUAGUCAUGGGCGCCCCCUCUUGGCCUCCCCUUCUGUAAUAUGGGAACCGAGUCUGGGCCUCUGGUCUUAGAGGGUUGGGUAGGAAAAAGGGGAAGGUCAUUCUCAUUUUUCCUAAAAUGCGCUGUGGCUUUUGUCACGUUGAAGAGCCAUCGAAACUACAGGCUGGGAGUUCCUGCCCAGGUCACUUCUCUCAGCUCUAGCCCAUUUAGGAAUCUUAAAGAUUAAAUAUCAGAAUCUAAGUCCAUUUAGGAAUCUUAAAGAUUAAAUAUCAGAAUCUAAGUGUGACGAUGCAAGAGGUCCAGGCUCCUUGGUGCUUUGUGCCUGCUGUAGGAAUGGUGGCCUCAAGGUGCUUCCACAUCGUCAUAGAGGGAGAGGAGCAGUAUCUUGUUGACACUGGACAAACGGAGAAAUUGUCUUUGCAUCUGCCUCCAGCCCUGAGGGCUUCGGCCACCUAGGCUCCGUCUAGCUGCCCCAAGGGCUGUGGGGUCAAAGGAGCUACCCUCCACUAACCCAUGUGCAUACACUGGGAAACUCUGAGGUAUCACAUUUCUAUUUUCUUGAGGCCCUGGUUCUCAACUGGGGCUGAUUUUGUCCCCCAGGGUAUACUUGGUAAUAUCUGGAAGCAUUUUUUUUUUUUUUUGUCUUUUUAGGGCCACACCUGCUGCAUAUGGAGGUUCCCAGACUAUGGGUCCAAUCAGAGCUGUAGCCACUGGCCUACACCACAGCCACAGCAAUGGAGGAUCCAAGCCAUGUCUGUGACCUACACCACAGCUCACGGCAACGUCGGAUCCUUAACCCACUGAGUGAGGCCAGGGAUCGAACCUGGGUCCUCAUGGAUACUAGUCGUGUUCAUUAACCCCUGAGCCAUGAUGGGAACUCCCUGGAAGCAUUUUUGACUGUCACAGUUGCUGGGGGAGAGGGAGCAUGUGUGCUAGGGGCAUCUAAUGGGUGGAGACCAGGGAUGCUGCUAAAUGUCCUACAAUCACAGGACGGCCUCCCCCCAUGACAAAGGAUCAUCCCCCCCUCCAAACCAAGUGUCACCAGUGUGGCUGCUGAGAAGCCCUGCCCUAAGGAGAAACUCAGUGUGAAAGAAGGGGCGGGGUCAAGGAAGGCCAGUGUCUCCUGUUCUUAGCAGUCCAACUUUAAAAAUCUCUUCAAAAAUUAUUCGUAGAGCCCAGCAGAGCAGAGGCUCACCUUUCCUUCCUUUUCACUCCUCUUUUUUCCCACAUAUCCCUCUUUUGUCACAUUUAUAGAUUACUUUGCCUGCUUUGAUGGAUGACUUGUUAUUUUACUUUUUUCUUCUUGUGGAUACUUCUCACUAGUCAUUGGUAACCAAGAAGCUCAAAGACAGACUCCCAGAAUGAGAGGAGUCUGGACCAUGGUCCCCAAAGAUGGAGCUGGCUUAGGGGACACAGGGCUGCCUGAUGCUGCCAUGGAGAAGAGCAGGUGCCACUGGGUUAGCAUUCCCUUAAUCCAUCUGACAUUGAGUAAAAAACAAAAACAAAAACAUGAAAAGAAAAAAAAAAAAAAAACUCAGCCUAUUUGGACAAAGCAGAAAAUUGAGUCGUGUGCAAGGCCAGGAACACUGUCAGCCCGAAUCACUGUCUGCUAAUCCCAACCCGGUUUUCAUCAGUGACUCCCUGGCAUUCUGAGGUAUUUAUUCUACUAAAGAUUUAAACCAGUUUGUUUUUAAGAAACAUCCUAAUCCCUUCUAACUGUGUAAUUUAAUCUUGGUUACUAAGUUACUAAGGGAACUGAUUUCUCCCCCCACAAAAACGAUUAACCCCUCUUAGCUUCUUUUUCCUAAAGUCUCAAGGGUAGUGCCAGCUGGGGGAAGGGGUAAGGACACAGGGAGAAGGAGGAGGAAUGGGAGGAGGAGGAAGGGGAGGAGGAGGGGAGGAGAAGGAGGAAGGGGAGGAAGAGAAGGAAGAGGAAGGGGGGGAGGGAGAGAAGGAGGAGAAAUGGGAGGAGGGGUGGGGGGAGGGAAGGAGGAGGAGGAGGAGGAAGGGAAGGAGGGGGGGGAGGGGCGGGAGAGAAGGAAGGAGAAAGGCGGCAAAUGAUGGUCCUAGAAGUGGAGCCAGCGCUGUGGAACUUCUGCUCACACGAACCUGGACAAAAAUUGGGUCACAAUCUAGAGUUGGAAGCUCUUGAUUCUUUUUUAUGGAGGCAUUUGUUGUGUCUCCUUCAAGAGCACAGAGAAAACUCAGAGGAUGCAGAUAAUCCAAGGGCCAUAUGCAUGGGACCAGGGCAGGCUGCCAAGCUCUCCUUUCAGCUUAAGGUUCAGAAGGAUCGGGAGAGAUGAAGAGUUUCAAAUUCUGGUUAUCAGAGCCCACCAUGGUCGCCCACAGACCCUGGCUAGAUGCGCAAGGAUCCCAGCCCACCCCACCCCAGGCCAGGGGCCACAGUCCCUCCAUCCCCCAUCCUCCUCCUCAGCAUCUACUGGGAGGUCUUCCUGUCCAGGCGCUCUCCCACACCGGUGAGCCCCCACAUGGCAAACAGGGGCUCUCCAGAGCGUCCUCCUCCUUAUUGGGGUGUCCGCCUGGCCCUGCAUCCACAGCAGGCUGCCCACUGCUCUGUGUCCCACACAACUGCUCCUCCAGCCACUGCCCCUCCUCUAAUCUCCCUCCUGGCUGGGGGCCGUGGGGUGGCCCAUGCAGAAUGGGGGAGAGGGAUGACAAUGGCAGUUUUUAGGCAGAAAGUAUGUCAGCCUCCUCCAGGAAAGCAUUUCCACUUCUUUCCACCAACAGAAAACCACGCCGAGCUUGGCAAACACCCCACUCCCUCCACCGACCCCAACAGGUGGGGUCGGGGGGACAGGCCGGUACUCACGCUGCUGGGAUGGAGCACCGGCAGAGGCAGCAGCAGGAGCGGCACCAAGAUGAUGAGCAGCAGCUUCCUGGCUCGGAGAAGGCCCUUCAGCAAGCCCAUCCUGGACCUCGAGUCGCCUCCUCCCCCUCGGAGCCUUCGCGCCAACCAAGUGCCUGGACUGCUUGCGAUGCUCGCCCCCAGUCAGAAAGACUUCUCCAACCUUUCUUGGCUUCCAAGAGUCCUCUGGCCUCUCCAGGGCAGAACAGGAGGGCAGGUACAGGCCCUGUUUGCACCACAGGCUGGGCUUCUCACCUCCUGUUUUAGGUGGGAUUGGCGAGCAUAGUUUUAUGCCCGGCCAAAAGGAAGCGGGGAAGGAUGCUAAAUGGGCACAUAAUGGCUCCCUCUUUGCUUGAUCAGUAAUGGAGUAACUUCAUGCUAAAGCGCAGCCAAAGCCCCCUUAAGCAAUCUAGAUUAUUCCUCUGCUGCAGCUGUUUGGUUUUGAAGAAGUCAUUUAAGAGCUUUAAAAAAAUUAAAAAUACCGAACACCUCCAUAAUCUUCCUCUCUCUAAUGGCCUGUUUGGGGCAUUACCACUUCCUCUUUCUACCUGUGCUGGCUGUGCCCCCUUCCCUUUAAAAAAAACAAAGCAAAUAGACAAACAAAAAAAAGACACAAAAAAUUAUCUAGUCCCUUCUUUCUUUAAAACAAACCCCGAGUUUGUCAGCACAGGAUGCAGACUUCAGGUAGAGCUGGUCUCCUCUCCCAGGACCUGGCACCUUAACUCUGUGCAAAUUUCUUUCCUUCUGAUUGAUUUCCCAUUGUAAUUUGCCUUGAGCCUGGGCCUCCAAAGCAGGAAAAAAGUCCCCAAGACAUUCCUUUUUGUCACGGGACAAAAUCUUGCUGGAGGCCCACCUUAACUUUCCUUCACCUAUGGGAAGCAGGACACAGGCGGUGGCCCCGCCCAUUCCUCACAGCCAAUCACCGCGUUGGAAAGAAUGAGUCAGUAUCUCUUCCAAAGGCAGUUCAGGAUUGGUCCCAGCAGGGGCCUGCUGAUUUUGCAGAACCUAAGCAACUUGCAGAGCUUAUUUUUGUUUCUCAAACGUCCCAGGGGCUGGAGUGAUGGCCAUCUUUGUAAACAUAAUCCCACUUCCCCGAGCACUGCUUCAACAUUUCAGAGCAUAGGACACCGAUCUUUCUCUGGGAGGGCCACUUGCUGACCUAGUCCUUAGGAAGAUAUGUCUGGUUGCAGGGAGAAAAUGAAGUAUUAAUCCUGGAGAAAUUGGCCCCAGAGUACACAAUAUUAAGUCUUUUGGACUUCCCUGGUGGCCAAGGUCCUUGGCAUGAGCACCUGGGUGAAUACAAAGCAUCUGAGUCAGCAGAGGAUGUUAUGUCAGAAAGACCACAGGCCUUUUAGGAAGAGUGGAAGGGAACUGCCCCUCUGGAAAAGUCUAAAUGCCAGUCUCGUUUCAGAGACGCAUGAAACCCAGAUGCCAAUGGUCUUUUGGGCUGGAGUAAAUGUUCGUAGGCUCCUCUCUGAGGCUCUUUACCAAAACGGAAGGCUUCUUUUGGCUGGUAUGGAAGGAGAAGGUGGGAGGGCAGGAAAAAAAAUGGGUGGUUUCAGGUAUAGGGCCUUUUCAGCCCUUGGACUCUGGAAUUUCUGCUGCUUACAGAUCAGGAGAAGCAUUUGUCUUUUCUCAGAAAGGUCAUGUGGAUCCGGGGCAAAGAAGAAAGAAAAAACAAAAGGAAACCCCCCACACUUUUAUAACUGGUGGUCCUUGGCAGCAUUGCCUCCAUCUGAGAGAUGAUGAGCAGAGUCAAGGGUUAUGAAAUGCAUGUUCUCUUGAACUCACAGAAUGCAAGGAAUGGCAUUUCCAGGUCUGCAGCUAUGCCAGUUGGAAAUAAUCCCCAGGCUAAAGGCAAAGUAACUCCAGAAAGGUGACUCCAUAAAACGCGUUCUUCUUGACCUCUAAGGCAGGAGCACCUGUGGACAGCCCUGGUCCCCUUUGAAACUGGCUUGUCAUUGUAGGCUGAGCCUCCAUGAUUUGUCUCUUUGAAUGCAUAUUCAGGACUGGCUACCAUAUUUGCUAUAUUCGGGCCUCAUUUUUGUGAUGAUUUUAAAACUCAGAAUGAAUGCUACCACGUGUGUGAUGUCUUGGUGGCAAACAUUAAAAAGACUGGAUGAAAAAUAAACAGCUGUGGAAGUCAGCAUUUGCUGUCAAACCCAAGGGCCACUUCACAUUCCUUGGUGAGAUAAUCUGAGAUAACAAAGAUUCCAUUGAGCCUGGAAAUUCCAUCAGGACAUUUUUAUUACAUCAUAAGUGAAUAUUUGUUAAAUAAAAUUACAUCAGGUGAGUGGCACAGUAGGACCAGUAGUUCUCUUUUAGAACUCUAUCCAUUUUCCAGUUAAAGAAAACAUUUUUUUUUUCUUUUUAGGGCCACACCUGAGGCAUAUGGUGCAGCAGCUGGCCUACACCACAGCCACAGUGACACCAGAUCCAAGCCACAUUUGUGACCUGCACUGCAGCUUGCAGCAACAUGGGAUCCUUAAGCCACGGAGCGUGGUCAGGGAUUGAACCCACAGCCUCAUGGAUACUAGUUGGGUCCCUAACCUGUUAAGCCACAAAAGGAACUCUGAGAAAACAGUUUCUUAAGAAAAUUUUUUACAUUCUUCAAGAAAUGUAAGUCAGAUUCCACUUAUAAGAGGUAUUAAAAGUAGUCAGACUCUUAGAAACAGGAAGUUGAAUGGUAGUUGUAAGGGGCUAGGGGGAGAGAGAAGAGUUGUGGUUUCCUAGGUAUUGCUUUUUGCGUGAUGAGCAAGUCCAGCUGUCUGUCACCCGACAGUGUGCAUAUAUGAACGAUACUAUACCACCUGCUUAGAAAUGGGUCUUAGAAAUUUAGAUGGUAAUUUCAUAUGAUGUGUUAUUUUUUAACCAUAAUAAAAAAUGAAAGAUAUUAAAAUGA